UCUGCUAAGGUGACAGGGAUAGGCCCGAGCUCCUAGAAGCUUGGCCUCAAUAAGACUGUACCUGAGGCAUCUUCUCUUUCUCAAGAAUCUCGAGGGCUCAGGCCAGCACAGCCUGUGAACCCAUGCUUUGAAAAAAACGCAGCAACAAUAGCUGUUUGGGCCUACAUAUUCUUCCCGUAUCUCCCGCUGUUGCCAUGUGCCAGUACAAUCAAUUGUUCUGCUGUCUCAUUUGGUAAUUUGGAAACUGUGCUAAGGAUCUAUGAUAACCACUUUGGCUGGAACUAAUGUCCUUUCAGAGAUGAGGAGGGGAAAAAAAGGAAAGCAAGAUGACCUAGCCAAAGAAAGGCAAUUCUCUGAAUUUUGGCAGAAGCGGAUUGCAUCUUUGAAAGCAGAUAGGGAAACCAAGAUGUCAUGUGACUUGCUCAAGGUCAUACAGCUACUAAGUGUCGUCUGACUCUGAAGCACACGUUCCAAUCACUGCAAAGGCUGCCCUCCCAGCAAACAAGGCCUGUUAAUGAAACAGGCACAGUCAGCACCCCCCUGUGGGGAUAGAGCCCAGGAUGUUGUCAUGUAUGUUGUUGGGAAGUGACAUACCUUCUCCUACCCCAAUGACCACUGGGACCCCUGCAAGCAAAUUAGUGGUGAUUGAGCCAUGAGGAAGUGAAUCCAGCCCCUCUACUGCUUUUGCUGACCAAUACCCAGGUUCUUCUCCAGAAACUUGGAAUUCUACAACAUCAGCAGAAAGAAAACCUACAGAUUCCAUAGAUCCGGCAUGGAGCUGGAUGUCUUUCAGGAGGAAGAGUUUUCAUUAAAACGUACAACCACAGCAAAGCAAGAAAAAAAAAUGAGCAAUUGAUGUAAGCAUUCCAGUCAAGUCUGCAUGUUAAGAAACAGAAUAAAGUGAAAUAACAAUUUAUAAACAAUUGGGCCUUGCAUAAACAUGACUUGCUAUUAUGCAUAAUACAAUGUGUGGCAUUUUAGGCUUGGAUCCUGUCCAGGGCGGUUUGUUACUGGAAGAAGAGGGAGAAUCUUGUUAAAACACAGCUUUACGUAAAACGUGAUCCCUAGACAUGGACCCAGAGGCCGAUGUUCCAGGGAGGUUCAAAUAUGGUUUUAAGUAAGAAGGUGGAGUUCUCAUUUCAUCUUCUGCUCAACUUCUUGUUUUGAAUGAAUGGGUAGCCUGGAUUGUUCUCUUUUUGAAAAACAAUUGUUUUGUUUGGUGGGAACCAGAAGAGACAUGUCAGCUCUAAUGCAGGAGAGAAACACAAUUUCAAAGGUAAAUUUCCUUGUGUAUGCAGGUGAUUGCCUUUUUAUUCAAAUUUUAUCUGAGCCAUAUAUAAUUUUAAUUAUAGAAUUUAGAGACUAAAAGUCAGAAAUAUCUUCAUAUUUUCUUGAAUAAAUAAAAAUGGUCUCUCUUUUAUAAAACUUCACUCGGGAACAGACAGGGGCAAAGGAGUAAAAUGAUGAGGAUUGUGAGUUCCUAACACUGGCUCUGUGCAAUUAAUAUUUUGGUAACCAUAUUUUAUGCCAACUCACCGGCAGAACCAGAGAGGUGAGGUGCCGGUGAGGUUCAGCAGGUUUUAGAAAUUACUCCUUCCCACUUUCCAUCCCCACCUUCCACCACCAAGAAAAGUCAAAUUGUCUGUGGAAAAUAUAUUCUAAUAUCAAAAACAAUCCUCUGAUUGCACUGUGGCAUCUUCUCGAAGCUGCCAUGUGGGAGUGUUCUGCAGAAGUUUUAAAA